UGGAUCCUUUUUUCUGAGGUUUCCAGAUCUUUCAGGAUGUGAGCUCAUGAUAGGAUGUUUCUGUCAGUGAAACUCUCAGAGUCUGAUGACUGACUGUCUGUUUGAUUUCAACAUUCUUUUGUUCUUAUUUGAUUGUUUUCUAUAGAAGUUCUUUCUGGUCUUUUCCUGCAGGAUGUCUGAGGGGGCGGAGCCAAAUCAUUAUGACAUCAGACUCACCUGGACUGAUCACCUGAGAACUAUUUAACCUGCCACUCGGUCUGAUUGAUUCUUCUGUUCUGGUUUUAUCUGGUGUGUUUGUCCAACCUGCAGCUCAGGUCCCUCUCUAUCUCCCCACACAUCCACCAACCACUGGAACACAUCUCCAAAGUUCUGCCGGGCCAGCUCAGCUUCCCCUCAGAAGAAGUGCCUGCCACCUGCCAGAUGAAGGAGCCUUUUGAGAGGCAGCUGGCAUCGUGAUUGGACUGUACUUUGGUCUGUUCCAAUCCAGCUUCAGCUCCAGAGACGGCAGGCGGGACGAGUCAACGGAGGCCUGGUGGACGAAGGCAUGCAGCUGAGUACAAUCCAGAAAACAACAGAGGAGGAGUGCAGCGGCCCAGGGCCAGAACAACCAGAGUAGCAUCGUAUGUCUCUUAGAAAACAUCAUAGUAUAGCCUUUGCUAUGAAAAAACGGCAUCAUAUGCAUCAUAUAUUGUACAAAUAACAAGUCAAAGGAAAGAGACAUACACUGUAGAAUUGUAGUAAUUGUGGGCUGACUGAUUUACUGAUUAUCAGUAUUUUAUUUUUUACUGAUUUACAGUAAUAAAUCAAUUUAAAAAUGG